AAAUAUUUGUAUGAAUUUUGAUGAAACUCAAGAUGCAUAUAUCUUCACAACAUUCUCGAGUUUCAUCAAAAUUCAUACAAAUAUUUAUAUGGAAAAGAAAAAUCAUAAAGUAAGCAAAUGAAAGAUGUAAACUGCGUCGUAAUCCUACAAGGCAUUUGGGGUAGGCUGAGCCACCAAAAUGGGGCAAAGGUCUUCUCUAAUUUCCUUAGUCAUACCAUGAACAACGGCGGCUUCUGCAUGCAAAAUUUAUUACUCCACCAAUGUGAUGACAGAUGCUAAGCAGUAAUCCUUGACCUACCUUUUGCUAUUCUUCGAGCAAUAAUGACUUUCCUUCCACCCUUGGUUGCCCUGCGUGCAAAGAAACCAUGAUUUCUCUUACGCCUGAUGAGGCUGGGUUGGAAUGUCCUUUUAGGGAAUAAGAGCAUUGGCUCACUUGAUGAAUCACCGUCCGGCAAGAAGAAGCGAAGAGAAGGGAGACCAAAGGGAUGGAAAAACUCUUCUUUGGCAAGAUUAUUAACGGAAUAGGCAUCAUUUUGGGGCAAAUCGUAAGAGGUUUGCAAUUUAGAGGGAGAAGGAAAUAGCUGAGGAGUGAUUUGAAAGCUGUGAGAUACAAUUUGAGCAUUGGCCUUAGGGUUUUGGUGGAGAAUCGGAUUCGAUAAGAACAUGCGGUUCAUCAGUGAAGCUCCGGUUCGAAUUAGGGUUUUGG
rnacentral:misc_RNA from 1 species